rnacentral:rRNA from 1 species
AAUUUUGGACAAUGGGGGAAACCCUGAUCCAGCCAUCCCGCGUGUAUGAUGAAGGCCUNCGGGUUNUNAAGUACUUUUGGCAGAGNGGAAAAGGUAUCUCCUAAUACGAGAUACUGCUGACGGUAUCUGCAGAAUAAGCACCGGCUAACUACGUGCCAGCAGCAGCGGUAAUACGUAGGGUGCAAGCGUUAAGCGGGAUUACUGGGCGUAAAGCGUGUGCAGGCGGGUCUGAAAGAAAGAUGUUAAAUCCCACGGCUCAACCUUGGACCUGCAUUUUUAACUGACGAACUAGAGUAUGUCAGAGGUGGGUAGAAUUCCACGUGUAGCAGUGAAAUGCGUAGAUAUGUGGAGGAAUACCGAUGGCGAAGGCAGCCUCCUGGAAUAAUACUGACGCUCAGACACGAAAGCGUGGGGAGCAAACAGG